rnacentral:piRNA from 1 species
UGUGAAUAGAGAUGCAACAAGCCCCAGA